CGUACACUCCUACGGGAGGCAGCAGUGGGGAAUUUUGGACAAUGGGCGAAAGCCUGAUCCAGCCAUGCCGCGUGCAGGAUGAAGGCCUUCGGGUUGUAAACUGCUUUUGUACGGAACGAAACGGCCUUUUCUAAUAAAGAGGGCUAAUGACGGUACCGUAAGAAUAAGCACCGGCUAACUACGUGCCAGCAGCCGCGGUAAUACGUAGGGUGCAAGCGUUAAUCGGAAUUACUGGGCGUAAAGCGUGCGCAGGCGGUUAUGUAAGACAGUUGUGAAAUCCCCGGGCUCAACCUGGGAACUGCAUCUGUGACUGCAUAGCUAGAGUACGGUAGAGGGGGAUGGAAUUCCGCGUGUAGCAGUGAAAUGCGUAGAUAUGCGGAGGAACACCGAUGGCGAAGGCAAUCCCCUGGACCUGUACUGACGCUCAUGCACGAAAGCGUGGGGAGCAAACAGGAUUAGAUACCCCAGUAGUCCCAUG
rnacentral:rRNA from 1 species